GGCGAGUGAAGCGGGAAGAGCUCAAAUUUGAAAUCUGGCAGUCUUCGAUUGUCCGAGUUGUAAUCUAUAGAGGCGUUUUCCGUGCCGGACCGUGUCCAAGUCUCCUGGAAAGGAGUAUCAAAGAGGGUGAUAAUCCCGUACUUAACACGACCACCGGUGCUCUGUGAUACGUCUUCUACGAGUCGAGUUGUUUGGGAAUGCAGCUCAAAAUGGGUGGUGAAUUCCAUCUAAAGCUAAAUAUUGGCGAGAGACCGAUAGCGAACAAGUACCGUGAGGGAAAGAUGAAAAGCACUUUGGAAAGAGAGUUAAACAGUACGUGAAAUUGUUGAAAGGGAAACGAUUGAAGUCAGUCGUGUUCUUUGGAUUCAGCCAGUUCUGCUGGUCUACUUCCUUGGAACGGGUCAACAUCAGUUUUGUCCGGUGGAUAAAGGUAGUAGGAAUGUGACUUCUCCGGAAGUGUUAUAGCCUAUUAUCACAUACACUGGGUGAGACUGAGGACUGCAGCUCGCCUU
rnacentral:rRNA from 1 species